AUUCCAUGAUGUGGGCAAUCUGUGAUAUAAUCUUGAAAACAUUCCCAAGCUUCUAGAAUUCUUUCACCUUUCUGCUGACAGAAUUCUGAUAUCUUCCCUCGUAGUGC
rfam:Sorghum bicolor cultivar BTx623 chromosome 3, whole genome shotgun sequence.